rnacentral:rRNA from 1 species
CUACCGGGGUAUCUAAUCCUGUUUGCUCCCCACGCUUUCGUGCCUGAACGUCGGUGCUGGACCAGGAAGCCGCUUUCGCCACUGGUGUUCCUUCCGAUAUCUACGCAUUUCACCGCUACACCGGAAAUUCCGCUUCCCUCUUCCGCACCCUAGCUAUGCAGUCUCGAAUGGCAUUCCCAGGUUGAGCCCGGGGCUUUCACACCCGACUUACAUAACCGUCUACGCACGCUUUACGCCCAGUAAUUCCGAUUAACGCUCGCACCCUCUGUAUUACCGCGGCUGCUGGCAC